GAGACUUGAGUAGGAAGGGCGACCCCAACCAAGAGAACCCAAGCUAGUGUGGUUCUCACGCUACACUUCUCUUAAAUGCCUGGAUACAGGAGGUAUGAUGACUGAAGAGAUGGAAGGAGAGAUUGAGAAAAGGAUAAGAAGAAGGAAGAGUUGAACCAACGAAUGGAUAUACAUUUCGAUGACAAGCCUCCCUUUAGGGGCACC
rnacentral:lncRNA from 1 species